AAAACAGUUAUGAAAUAAUUAUGAUGUGACAUUAAUAUAUCUGACGUGGAAAUGACAUGUCAAUUAUAUAAAGGAGAGUGAGCUACACACAUGGUUGGAGGGGCUUAAAAGUCCCAUUUUAAUUGAGUUUAAGGGUCCAUAUGACAAAGGGGUAAGUAGAAGGGUUCAGAAUACAAACUGAUACAAGUAUAAGGGUCCACCAGA
rnacentral:lncRNA from 1 species